rnacentral:rRNA from 1 species
UACGUAGGGGGCAAGCGUUGUCCGGAUUUAUUGGGCGUAAAGAGCGUGUAGGCGGCUUUACAGGUCCGUUGUGAAAACUCGAGGCUCAACCUCGAGACGCCGGUGGAAACCGUAAGGCUAGAGUCCGGAAGAGGAGAGUGGAAUUCCUGGUGUAGCGGUGAAAUGCGUAGAGAUCGGAAAGAACACCAACGGCGAAAGCACUCUGCUGGGCCGACACUGACACUGAGAGACGAAAGCUAGGGGAGCGAAUGGG